GACUAGAUAUGGAUUUAUCAAACUAAUGUCAUAAAGGGGCAUUAAGCUUGGCAUAUAUGUGGACUUAAUAAAUGUAACAUACCAGAUUUUAAAUAUAAAAGAAAAAAAAUAAAUAAAAAUAAUAUGAGAUACUAUUUUAUUGGAUUUAGAGAAGUGAAAUAUCGGUUGGAAACGACCUGUGCUGAAAUCGGAGCGAAAACAGAAGAUUUAGAAUUUUCUGUGAGAAACAGGGCAGAUAAAUUAGCAGAAAAUGCACAGUCUCAGAAAAUUAUGAAAAUUGGCGAGGAUGUCAAAAAUAUUUUAAUGAGGCUAAAUUUAAAGUUUCAUAUUUUUCUGACACCUGUAGAGUGAGAAAUAAAAUCCGAAAGCCAUCUGAUAAAGAUUGCAGUUCGGUACAGUUUUCAGGGACCAAACGGGGUCGAAACUGAAAUAUUAAAAUUUCUUUGGACUUAUUAAGUAAAACCGAACAUGCCUGUCAAAUUUGAGUUCAAACGGACGUUCAGAAGGGCUCCGGCGAAAAAUAAACUGCCCGAAGUGAAUAGUGCGUAGUUGAGGGGCAAAAUGGUAAAAAGGGUUUAAAACCCCUUUUCUUCUUCUCCUCCCAACCGUGGCUGCCCCAACCCGUGCACACCCACGACACACACCCACACACGCAUGGAAGGAGAAGAGAAAACCCUCUCUUUCUCUCUCUAAAUCUCUCCCAAAAGAGGUGAAAUUGGUGGAGAAGAAGCUUGGAGGGAUCAUCAACACCAUCAUCUUCUUCUUCUUCAUUUUGGAGCAAGCUCUUGGAGGUAAGCUCCUUACCCAUUAAUGGUAGAUCCUUAAUGGUUGGGUUAAAUAGCUUAUAAAUGGAUUUAGAGGAAUCCUAGCAUGCUAUCUAGAUGAAUGAUGCUUCAAUCAUGAAUCAAUUUGGUGAUUUCUUGCAUAGUUGUAACCUAGGGCUCCAAAAUGCUAAUUUUCAAAAUAUGAGGGUUUGAUCUAAUUUGACCCUCCGUAAACAUAAUUGCUAGGUAACGAAACGCGUUGGCGAAGACGGUUCGGCAAUCCGACGAGCCGUUACAAAGUUAUUAAAGAAAUAGACGUUUAGGCUUCGGGUCCGCCGGGAGGGCCGAGGCGACGUCGUAAAAUCAUGAAAAUGGAUUUGAGGCAUCGUGGCACAUAACCGAAGACCUAUAAUUUUCGGGGCUGCAAAGCGGAGCACGGUUGAGGCGCAGUUGCAGUAUCGGGCCGUAACGGAUACGGGUGCCGCGGGAGGCCGAUUGCAAGUGUCGACAAGCAAUCGGAACGCGAAUUAAAGUGGGUUGUGUUUACCGAAGCGACUAGGUCACCUUUAUGUCUAAGAAACUAAGAAUCCAUGUUGAUGCAUAUAAAUGUAAAUGAAGCAUGUAAAUGAUGCAUGUAACUAAAUAAUGCAUGUUGAUAGUAUGAUGUAAAUGCUAAAUAGAAUGCAUUAAGAGCAAGUUACAUAAUGCUAAAUAAUGUAAUGUAGAAAUGCUAGAAUGCAUUAUGAGCAAGUUACAUAAUGCUAAAUAAUGUAAUGUAGAAAUGCUAGAAUGCAUAAUGAGCAAGUUAUAUGAUGCAUGUUUAUAAUAUGAUGUAAAUGCUAAGUAGAUGCAUAUAAAUGAUAUAUGAGAUUAUAAACGCAUGAUUAGCAUUAUGAGAUCAUAGAUGCAUACUUAGCAUUGUGAGAUUAUAUAUGCAUAUGAACUUGGUUGAUAACUCUAGCUUGAUUAGAGAGAUAAUAUUGGAAAAUGAGAAUUGAUAACUCUAGAAUGAGUAGAAUGCUUAAUUGGACAAUUAGUAUGUGAAUUAGAUCGAGUGGCAUCUAACUUAGUGUUAAGGAACAUAGGUCGUGAGUAGACCUAGAAUCAAAUAGAUCGAGUGGCAUCUAACCUAGUGUUAAUAAACAUAGGUCGUGAAAUGAAAAGUACUUAACCUAGAGUCAAGUGAACCUAGGUUGGAAAGAAUAAUGAUCCUAGUGUAAUAACCUAGGUUAAGAAUGUGAAAGCAAUAAACCUAAUGGGUGAACUUAGGUUGAGUAAAGGCUUAAACCUAGAGAGGUCAGUUCCAUAGGGUUAAGACCAACCCCUAUGUGAUGUGAAAUGGAUUCCGGAAUCCCAAGGCUAAAAGGAUACACCCAAAGUGGUGUCGGGUGUGUGCGACGAUUUCGCCGCCCAAGGGCUAAUUAACCAUUGUCGUGGCGUGUGCGACGAUUUCGCCGCCGGAUGGUUAGCCAGUUUGUGGAUCCUACCGCCUGUUGACUGAAUCACUAUCGUGGCGUUUGUGCGACGAUUUCGCCGCCGGGUGGCUAAGUCAUGGACCUAGGCCGUUGUUGGGUGAGGUGCGAUUCGUUCGCCGCCAGACGGCUAGGACAGGAGUACGGUGAGCUGUUGCCAGCUGAGGUGCAUGUGAGAGUUCCUUCACCUCGAGCUAGACAGUGCGCGGACUAUCCGCGAUUGAUUGACUCAAGACCGAGUCGUGUGGCAUAGAGAACUAAGGUAAGAGAAACCUUAGGAAAGAAUGGCCAGUAGAAAAGUGCGACAAAGUGUAAAGAAUAAAGAAUAAGUAAAGAAUAAAGAUCGGCUAAGGAAUAAGAAUAGCUGAUAAGUAAAGAAAAGUUACAAGUAAAGAAUAGCUAAGAGCUAAAAGUAAACAUUAAAUGACAAUAGUAAAGAAUGAUUAAGAAUAUAAGUAACGUUAAAGUAACCUACUUGCAUGAUUACAGGUAUUGCAUAUUGCAUUUCGUGAGGCAUGACAUGUAUUUCAAUUGAAUAUAUAUAUCUGUUGUAUAUUGUUGAACUAACAUGUUGCAGUGCCUCGUUAGACCUGUUGGUUGAGCUGGUUCUCUUGGGUGGCUAAACCCACUGAGGACUAUGGACAAUAGUCUCACCCCCGUGUUGCUGUUUUGGGGGUACAGGUACACACGUGUGCGGCGCGGCAGCGCAAGGCGAGGACGUAGUUCUGCAGAUAGCGCCCUACCCCAGAGACCAGAGCUAGCAGUACCCCGUCUAUAUAGCUUAGGGGUAAAGGAAAUGAAAAGAAUACAAUGUAUCAAACUUGUAGUAAGUAAAUGUUGUAAUAACUUAGAUUGCAUUUGGAUGAAAAGGAAUGAAAACUGUGAUGUAAAAACCAUGAAAGUGAAUGAAUGUAAUAACUUAGGAUGUGUUUAUGUUGUAUGAUACCUUCCACUUGCAAUCUUGAUUGAUAUCUGUUCCUGGUUGGAACCUUCGUGAAUUGUAUUGAUUGCGAUGCCUUGAAUGUACAGGGGAGACUUUGUCCGUAGUACAGGGGAAACCCUGUCCAUUCGGCGAUGUCGGCGGCGCUGGGACCUCGGCCAAAUAGGCGGGUGGUCGCGGGCUGUGACAAUAAACCUAUUGUCAUGAAGAGGCAUUAGAUUUGGAUGAUAUGUGAAUUGCAUGUGCAUAUUAAUAUUAUGAGAACUAUGCUAAGUUUAUAGUUGCAUACGGACGCAUUGAAACCUUAUGCUAGUGAAUAGAUGCGUGUUAAUAAUUAUAUGCAUUGGGGGUGCAUGCUAGGUACAUAUUAGCAAUUUGAGGUCAUGCUAGAGAGCAUGCAUAUUAACCUAUUAUUGAUAUAUUAAACUAAUGUCAUAAAGCGGCAUUGAGCUUGGGUUAUAUUUGAACCUUGUAUUGGUGCCAUAAAGGGGCAUAGAAUGUGAAAUGUGCUUGGAUUAUAAAAAAUUGUUUAAAUGUCAUAAAGAGGCACUAAACAUAGUAUAUGUUGGAACUUCACUCGAUACAUAGAACUAGACCGUUGGGUUGCUAGUAGCUCUUACCAUGUUAGAGACAUGAUGAUCGGACACUUGAGCUAUUGACUACGCUUGCUUGCCAUUUGUGCUCGUUCGCAUAUGCUUGUGAGGGUCGCUCCCUACAAGCCGGCAUUCCGGAGUUGGCCUACGCGACUUAUACUCGCUCGUGCAGUAUCGAGAAGCCUACGGGGUCGGGAGGGAUAGACUUAUUCCUAGAGUGGGAAUGCUGGAGCUACCACCGGCACUUAGGCGGCACAAGCUGAACUACACAUGUGUAGGUCCUAAAUGAGAUUAAACCAGAAUAUUAAACAACAGGUUGAUAAUCGCUACUAGACAGGUUAUAUUAGUUGGAUUCGUGACAUGUUAUGACAUAGGAUUGGACAGUUGGAUAUAUAGCACACUUGACAGUUUCGUAUAUUGCAUUGUAGUGUACUCAGUUGCCAUGAUAGUACAUCCUAGAUAUGUAUUGGACCCUAGGGCAGAUAGCAUACUUCAUAGUAUUACUUGUUGCAUCGUAGCGUAUUUGUUUAUGUAUCGGCAUACUGGAUCAUGUAGAGUAGAUGUACUCCAUAUUGACGUUCUGAAUUCUUGGCAUAGUAGAGUAGUAUUUAUUAUAUGCUUCAUUUACCGCAGUUUAUUCUUGUUAUCCUUAUCUGCUCUUUCUCUCUUGGGCCUGGUGGUGCAGUUGGUGCAGGUCAGUAAUUGCCCACUGGGAACUAUAAAUUAUAGUUCUCAUGCCCCCUGUUUUAUGUUUUCUUUCAGAGCCUUUCACUCUGAGAGAGGCUCGGGAUCGCGGGAAGGUUUCACCUCGAGUUAGCUAUCGAGGGACUUGGUGAUAGGUGGUUCACCUCUCUUUUGUUUUCUUUUGGAGAGGUUGUGAGAGUUUUGUACCUGGUUAUAGAGAACCCCCUGUUUUUGUAUCUUGAGAUUUAUGAUGUAUUAAUUUACUUUAUGCUUUAGUGGUUCAGUUCUCUUUUGACUCUACUUGUCAAUAGAACCUAGCUGUAUAUUUGCUCUGAUAUCUCUAAACACUUUCAACUUCUUGUUCAUUUAUUCGUUUUUGUUGUAGACACCUUAUAUGUGCAGGCAUAUGGCGGGUCUGGGUACGCACUGGGCAGGCCUACGCCGAGUCCCGGGGUGUGACAACUAAAGUCCCUUAUGUCUCAAUUAGGUAUAGGUUUAAAUGCAUGAAGCAAUGCUCAAUUUCAUUGUAAGAAACAUGGUCCCGAGUCCAACAUAAGAAUGCCCAAUGCUAGUGCAAGCUUCACAUGCAACUCUCUCUCUCUACUAUAUAGAGGUCCGAAAAUUCAUUAUACAUGACAUAGGGAUGUUAAGUAUUCUAAAAUUCACAAUAAAUACAUUUAACAUGAAAAUGCAUGAAUUUUCACUUUACGAAACAUAAAUCACCAAAUAUGAAAAUUUUUCAUAUUGUAGGCUAGGUCAAACCCACUGAAACUUGCGCAACCUUUCGUAUGCUCCGACGAAGGUGCCCACUAGCCUCCUAGCACCCUAGAGGUAUAGAAACAAAGGUUAAACGAACCUUACGAACAACUACAAGAUCAAACAUUAACCAUCUAUACAAAGGGGCUAAAAUAUCACCUAUAGUGGAGAAAUUCCUUUCCAAAGCUCAAAAAGAAGCUAAAUGUCACGCCCCGGGACCCAACGGAAGCCCGCCGGCACGUGCCCAGACCCGCCAUACGUCUAAAACAUAUAAGAUGUCUAAAAUAAAACGAUAAAUAAAGCAAGAUAAAGAGAACAUCUAGCAGUAUCAGAGCAAGUAUAUCUAGAUGCUACAAUAAUCGAAAUGAACAUAGAGCUAAAUCUACUAGGUAGAAACAAGAAGUAGUACAAUAAACAUCCAAAAUACAAAUGCUAAACCAGAUACAUAGGUGGUAUCUCUAUACAAGGUACUAACAUAACUCUCUCUCACUCAACUACAACAAAAGGAGAGUGAACUACCAAAACGCAAAAAGGACGCUUCUCGCUAGCUAGCUAAGCGAUCCCCUUACCGCGGUCCCGUGCCUCCACCGGUGUAGAGAGCUGUCACGCCCCAGGACCGGCAGAGGCCCUCCCGGUAGCGUGCCCAGACCCGCCAUAUGUCAACACAUAUGAGGCGUCUAAAACAACAGCGAAAAAUAAAACCAAAGAUAGUCUACAUCUAGAGAUAUUAGAGCACAGAUAGAUCUAUCAUCUACAACAAUGUAAAUGAAAAAUACUAAACAAUAAAUGUGAAUCAUGAAGUUAUACAAUAUCAUCUCCAAAAUAGUACACAAAAGGGGUGGUCUCUAGUACGCUAGUACAGCUCUGAACCUCUCCAAAAUAAAUACAUCGAGAGGUAGACCACCUAGCAACUCGUCACUCACUGAAGAGCUAGCUCGAAGCAACGCCCUUCCCACGGUCUCUAGCCUCUCCCGGCGUGGAAGGCUCUGAAAGAAAACAUAAAACAGAGGGCGUGAGAACUAUAAUUUAUAGUUUCCAGUGGGCAAUUACUGACCUCAGCUCAAUGCACCACUAGGCCCCAAAAGAAAAAGGGUAAGCCAAAAAGAGCAAUAGUAAUGAAUAAAUUGCAUUUAUGAAAGUAUAAUUAAAAUUCUAAGAUACUACAUUGCAAUUAAACAUGGUGUUAAAAUGAUGCACCUUUACUUUGUCAUAAACAAUGUCUCUACAUGGCCACAAGUAAAUAUCGCGGUUUACUUUAUGAAGUUAUGAAGAUCAUGCUUUAUCAUGGCAGCAAUGUACAUAUGAAUGCAAUAAGCAACAUCUCCUAGUAUACUACAUGCAUGUAUGUAUACUCAAAUGUCCAACACUAUAAUAGAAGUAAGUCCAAGUAAUCCAACUACUACUCUCUAUCUAGUAGUGAUUAUAACACACUCAACACCGUGUUGAUUUCCAUUUCCAAUUAAGGACCUACUCAAGGUAGUCCAGCUUGUGCCGCCUAAGUGCCUGUGGUAGCCCAACAUUCUUGCUCUUGGAUUGUGUCUGUCCUACUUGACCCCGUAGGCUUCUCAAUACCGCACGAGCGAACAUAAGUCGCGUAGGCUAACUCCAGAGUGCCGGCUUGUAGGGAGCGACCCUCACAAGCAUGUGCGAAUGAGCACAAAUGGCAAGCAAGCGUAGUCAAGGCUCAAGUAUUCAACCCUCAUGUCUCAAACCGGCCUAAGGUUUGCUAGGUCUACUAAGGCAAAACCCUAGGCUCUGAUACCAAACUAAUCUGUCACGCUCCGGGACCGGCAGAGGCCCUCCAAGUAGCGUGCCCAGACCCGCCAUAUGUCAACACAUAUAAGGCNAGUCAAGGCUCAAGUAUUCAACCCUCAUGUCUCAAACCGGCCUAAGGUUUGCUAGGUCUACUAAGGCAAAACCCUAGGCUCUGAUACCAAACUAAUCUGUCACGCUCCGGGACCGGCAGAGGCCCUCCAAGUAGCGUGCCCAGACCCGCCAUAUGUCAACACAUAUAAGGCGUCUAAAACAACAGCGAAAAAUAAAACCAAAGAUAGUCUACAUCUAGACAUAUCAGAGCACAGAUAGAUCUAUCAUCUACAAUAAGGUAAAUGGAAAAUACUAAACAAUAAAUGUGAAUCAUGAAGUUAUACAAUAUCAUCUCCAAAAUAGUACACAAAAGGGGUGGUCUCUAGUACACUGGUACAGCUCUCAACCUCUCCAAAAUAAAUACAUCGAGAGGUAGACCACCUAGCAACUCGUCACUCACUGAAGAUCUAGCUCAAAGCAAUGCCCUACCCACGGUCCCUAGCCUCUCCCGGCGUGGAAGGCUCUGAAAGAAAACAUAAAACAGAGAGUGUGAGAACUAUAAUUUAUAGUUCCCAGUGGGCAAUUACUGACCUCAGCUCAAUGCACCACUAGGCCCGAAAAGAGAAGGGUAAGCCAAAAAGAGCAAUAGGAAUGAAUAAAUUGCAUUUAUGAAAGCAUAAUUAAAAUGCUAAGAUACUACAUUACAAUUAAACACGGUGUUAAAAUGAUGCACCUUUACUUUGUCAUAAACAAUGUCUCUACAUGGCCACAAGUAAAUGUCACGGUUUACUUUAUGAAGUUAUGAAGAUCAUGCUUUAUCAUGGCAACAAUGUACAUAUGAAUGCAAUAAGCAACAUCUCCUAGCAUACUACAUGCAUGUAUGUAUACUCAAAUGUCCAACACAAUGCUAGAAGUAAGUCCAAGUAAUCCAACUACUACUCUCUAUCUAGUAGCGAUUAUAACACACUCAACACCGUGUUGAUUUCCAUUUCCAAUUAAGAACCUACUCAAGGUAGUCCAGCUUGUGCCGCCUAAGUGCCUGUGGUAGCCCAACAUUCCUGCUCUUGGAAUGUGUCUGUCCCACUCGACCCCGUAGGCUUCUCAAUACCGCACGAGCGAAUAUAAGUCGCGUAGGCUAACUCCGGAGUGUCGGCUUGUAGGGAGUGACCCUCACAAGCAUGUGCGAAUGAGCACAAAUGGCAAGCAAGCGUAGUCAAGGCUCAAGUAUCCAACUCUCAUGUCUCAAACAUGGCAAAAGCUACUAGUAACCCAACGAUCUAGCUCUAUGUCACAAUGUGAUAUCCCAACACUCACCUGCUUAGUGCCUCUUUAUGACACGUAAGCAUCACAACUAAUCAAGCCCAAUUCAUAUGCUAUGUUCUAAUUAAGACAUUAAUACCAAUGUUCACUGUAGCCCGAGUCCAAUGCCUUUUUAUGACAUUGGCCCAAAUUCUCAAAUAGUCUAAGUCCCUAAGCCUCUCUAGGCUUUCAAAGUCUCUAAUGUCACAAUUGGGAAUACAGGUUAAAUGCAUGAAAGUAAUAUUCAUUUUCAUAAUAGGAAUCAUGGUUCCAAGUCUCAACUAGAACGCUAUGUCUCACAUGCAUGCACCCUAUCACAUAGAGGUUCAAAAAUUUACUAUACAUAACAUAUGCAUGUUAAGCAUUCUAAAAUUCAUAAUAAAUAUUGUUAAGGAUUUUAUAGGUUGGCGAAUUUCGUAAAGUUGUUUGGAGUCUUGAAGAGUUGAUCACAGAAGUUUUUGAGAAAAGAUUCAAAUUGGAGGACGAAGACUCAUUCGGAAAGAUCGACACCUAAGGUAUGAAGAAAAGAUCAUUUGUGGUGAAGAUACAUAAUUAGAAUAAGUUCAGAAGGCUUAGAUUGCUUUAAAAUAAUUUUUCUGAACUUUUAUGUGUUCUGGGACCGGUCUCUGAGAUUGAGAGACCGGUUCCCCCAAGGUCCUCACUGCGUAAACUGUGAUGCAACCGGUCCCCUGUGAUGAGAGACCGGUUCCCGAACCAUGGUGCUUCUGUCGCGCAGCGAGGGACCGGUCUCGAGUUUGAGAGACCGGUUCCCGAACGUUGGGUUUUUGGUUACGCAGAGAGGGACCGGUUCCUCACUUGAGAGACCGGUCUCUCACAGACCGGUCUCCUCGAGAGGACCGGUCUCUGAGGACGACACAGGUUUUUGAAAACGACUUUUUGCAAUCCUAGUCUACUUCUAAGUCUUCUAAACAUAUAAAUAAGCUAUGUGGGUCAUCUAAAAUUAAGGCUUUGAAUAUUUUAUCAAUUCUAAACCCUAGAAACUUAAUUCUCUUCGUUUUGAUGCUUAGAUGAGUUUCUAGCAAUCGACAUCGGCUUGAUUCUUCGGUGUUACUCAAUAAUUCUUACGAGAAUCAAGUAGAUGUUUGAUAAAAGGUGAACUCCCAUAGCUUAUGGUUUUCAAACGUUAAAUCACCACAAAUCUUCAAUUCUACAUGCUCCGGAAGGAGGUUCGGCGCGUGGAUCGCGUGUGAAGCCGAGGAUUCGGUGGACGCUUCGAGGAGUUGAGGCGUUGACGCUGCGAGGAGUUGCAGCAAGGUCGAUUGGUGGAUUCCUAUCGAUCGAGGACCGGCAAAGAUUACCAUCAACAAGAAAUCGGUAAAUUGAGUCGUGUGUUUUUGUCGAAAUCACUUGUACUCAAGUUUUCUUAGUGCAUUUUCUUUGCGUGAUCGGUCCCGUGGGUUUUUCACUCCGAAUUGGAGUUUUCCCACGUUAAAUUCUCGGUGUGCUGUUUUAAUUUUCGCUAUUUCGUUUUGUUUGCAUCGAGAUUUAUCGAGUUUGCCAGAUUUACACCUAUUCACCCCCCUCUAGGUGUUACUUACCUUUUAGAUCCUCGGGAUCCAUAUCUCACAAAUAUAUCAAACGUGAAUAUGCAUGCUUUUCCAUUUAACGAUACUCAAAUCAUCACAAAUGAGAUUUUCUCAUUGUGUGGCUACGUCAAACCCACCAAACCGUCGCGUAGUCCUUCGUUUCGCCAAACGGAGUUGUCCACGAGUCUCAAAAUACCCUAAAAGUAAUGAGCGAAGAGAUACACGGGCAUUACGAUCUACUAUAAGAUUAAACAUUAACCCUCAAGACAAAAGGGCUAAAAACUCACCUAAUGUGUAGAAAAUCUCUCUCAAGCUCCAAAAGAGAGCUAAAUCCCUUCCAAUCCAACCAAAUGGAAGGUUCUAAUCCAAUUAAUCAAGCUCCAAAAGCCCUAGAUUCAAAAUGCCCAAAAUAAACCCUAAGUCUCCAUUCUAGGGUUCCAUUAAAAAAUUUUAGCAAAACAAGGAUCAAAAGGAGAAAACAAGUUUCUAACCUCUCAAGAAGCUCCCAACUAGGCUCCAAAUCAAAUAGGGUUGAAGUUCUCCUCUCCAACAAGCCUCUAACAAAGCUCCAAGUCCUCUCCAAUGGUGGAAAAAGCCUCCAUAAUGCAAAAGUAGCAAAAAUGAGGCAUAAAAGCUUCAAAAAAUCAAACAAAAUGGAAGGGAAAGGAUGUAGGGCUCCCUUACCUUGAUCUCCUCCUUCCUCAGCUCAGGGAAGGCUCAAGAGGGCGUGGGUGCUAUAUAGAAUAGCCACAAUUGCGAAAAACCCCAUGCAGUUUAAACUGCUCAAAAAUUGCCACUGCAUACCGGUACACGGGCCCACGUACCGGUACACAUCCCACGAACUAGCCCAACCCGAGUCUCGGGUUGGCUAAGAUGCAGCCAAUGUUGACGGCUGUACAGGUACAGCCAUCACCCCGUACCGGUACACAGCCCUUUGAAGGCUACCCGAAAGCUAACCAAAAAUCCGAUUUUUCGGGUUUUGGUGCUAGGCUUCAAAUCUCAAUCCUCGGGAUACGAGCCAUAGGUCGGAACACUGUCUACGACUCACCAGAAAGUCUGGAAAAACUCAGGACACCGUUCAAAUACUCGAACCUCGCAAUUUGCAAAGGUCCAGUGUGUUACAAGGGCUCUGAAAUAAAACCAUAGAAACGAGGGCGUGAGAACUAUUAAAAAUAGUUCCUAGUGGGUAAUUAUUGACUUCAGUGAAAUACCCCACUAGGCCCAAAACUAAACAAAAGAGAGUAAGUAUGAGUAUAAACAAAAGCUAAAUAAAGAACAAGUAUAUAACCAUGAGUACUACUCUAUCAUGAUAUCUCUACUUAGCAAGAAUUGCAUAAGUAAUAAAACAACUACAACAAGUAUGUUCAUGAGUGUGACUAACAUGUAUAAGCAUGUAUAUGCAAUCAACAGAAUGUCCAUGAUGUAGAUAGUAAAAUGUCAUUGUUUACUAUUCUAUUCAAAGUCCAACUGGCAUAGUAUGUCACUAAGUUCCAAUCAUAGAAGACCCACUCGUAGGCUGUCUGGCCUGCGCCGUGCCUAAUGGCCCCGCGGUAGUCAACAUCCCCACUCUAGGAAUGAGCCUCCCCAUAGCAUCCUAUUUUGGCGCCCAAUCCCGCACGAGCGAGCAUAUGUCGCAAUGGCUAUCUCCGGAGUGCCGGCUUGUAGGGAGCGACCCUCACAAGUAUGUGCGAAUGAGCACAAUGGCAAGCAAGCGAAAGAUCUGUCUCAAGUACCAAGUCCUCAUGUGUAACACACCGGACCUUUGCAAAUUGCGAGGUUCGAGUGUUUGGAUGUAUUUCGAGUUGUUCCUGUUAGAUGUAUGCCCUAGAAGCCAACCAGGCCGACACAUAUAUUCUUUCUAGGACAUAAAUUUGUAUUUGACUUUUAAAUAUUAUGAAUAACUUUGGGUUUUUAUUUUUAUUCAUGUUAUGUAUGUGUCCAUGAAUCGUCCAAGGAAUUAAUAAGAUGAUGACAGAUAUUCUCAAGAGUUGAGAAUUUGAGACAUGUGUCAUUGGUGGUUAAUUCCUAAAUACUCCCGAUCAAUGGAUCAUCACGGGGACGGUGAUUGAUCCAGUGAGAUUGGUGCAUAGGUCGCUUCCCUUUUGGGUAGACGAGUCUCGAGUCGACAGUGUAGGGACACUGAAGCGAAUAUGCAGGUGGUUGUUAGAGAACAAGGGUACCGAGCGUGACCAACGCGAGAAGUCACUUGGAUGUCUACUCACUCAUCAGUGACUUACUCAAUUGUUGCAGUAGUGUGACUGGUCCUUUGACCUGCGGUGCCUCGGCUAUUCAUAAUGAGAUUACUGUAGUUUGACUGUACAUACACUUGGUCCCUAGCCAUUCGGGUCCUUGCGGUGCAUGUUGGCUACAGUAGGUUCAUUGUAGGAAUAGGGUGAGCACUUAGAUGGAAUCUAUCUCCCUAGAUAGAUAGGGGUGUUAGUUCCAUGUGAUUUAUGAGACCGAGUUUAGAAGACUUUGGCCAGUGCAGAGUUAAUAGCGAAAAAGGCUUUCCGAUAUUAGAAACUCGAGUCAAAUAAAUUUAACAUAUGACAGAUGAUGGGGUUUGACGAGUUAUUCCAUAACCUCCGUCUAGUCGGGACUCAUGAUAGAAUGAUUGUAUCACACGGUAACUGCAUCAAGAGGUUCAGUAUUCCAUUCUACUGGAAUGCCACUACAUGCUGCUAGGCGUCACUGGUGGAUUGUAAGACUCGUGAGAAUUGUCUAGAUGAUCGAUAAUUUUCAUUGUGCUGAGUUGGAAAUGUUCCGAUCCACUGAAAGGAGUUUCAGUGAUAUUGUUGAUAGUGAUCAAAAUAUAUUUCACUGCCAGAUAGAAUAGAAUCUAUGGGGUCACACACAUAAGAGGUUGUGAUUGAUCGGAUAGCUAGAUCGCGAUUAUUGAAUCGCCGGAGGACCUAAUUGUCAAUAUAUUGAUAAUUGGACUAAUUUGUAAUUGUUACAAAUUAGUGCGUUUAAUAUGUAAAAUUUACAGAGAGGACUUACUAAUAGUUAGUAAAUUAUAGAGGACUUAUGUGCAAAUAUUGUAUUAUUAAUUUGAUAAGAUCAAAAUUAAUAUAAAUUCAAGUCGAAUCAAAUUAGGAUUUGAUCGAUCUAACAAUUAAGGAAAAGAUAAAUAUUUAAAUCUAAAUUUAUACUUAUCCUUAAUUGUCAUUAUAUUUUUAGGAAUAGGAAUUUAUCCUAUAUAUAAUAUACGGAGUGUUUUAGAAAACCGAAGCCGUCAUCUAUCUCUUUCUCUCUUCAUCUUCUAGCAAGAAAGACGUUCUUUUUGCAAGGGAGCUAGCACCCUGUGAGGACAUCGAUCAAAUCAAGAACCUCGUGUGGAUACCUAUAGAGGUCGGACGCGUGUGCGGCUUCAAGAGACCCAGAUUCUACGAUCAUCAAAUUGAGUUGAAGAUCUGAUCAACGAAAAAGGUAAAGAUUCGAUCUUGUUUUUCUUCUUUAAUCUUAAAACAUGGGGAUCCUAAUUGCCGUGGUUUUUGAGAUUGGAUCUCGAGAGUUUUUAAAAUCAAAUUUGUUUGAUUUCUUUUUCCGCCUGCAUUUUUUACCAGUACGCAAUUUUCUAUCAGUUCCACACUUGGUGGAGGGUCUGUAGAAUGUUUUCGACCUAAAAAGUUCGAUGAAAAUUAGAAUUCUGGACAAGUCCUGAGAGUUUUUCUCUCGGGCGACCGUCCUGGAAGAGAGAACGGUCCCCCAGUGAGCAGUGUUGCGGCAGCCCUGAGGCAACGGUCCUGGGGGCGAGACCGGUCCCGAGCGCGCCUUCAGCAGAGAGACCGUCCACGGGGGAGAGACCGGUUCCGAACGAUGGUUUUUUCGGGUUCACAGCGAGAGACGCGUCCCUGCUGAGGAGAGACCGGUCCUCUGGGCGAAAGUGCCCAGACCGGGCUGUGCAAUAUGAUUUGAGGGGCCUCUCCGGAUUUUGUUACACUAGAUGGCUUAUUAGCCAUUUCCCCCUCUUCCCUCUUCUAUUUUCUCAUUCUCACCAUUCCUACACCUUUUUAGAGAGAGAAGAAGAAGAGGAAGGAGGAUGGAAGAGAAGAGGAGCUAGCUUGAGGGAGCUUGGAGCUCAACCCCUUUCUUCUUUCCACACUUUGCAAGGCUUGGAGCUUGCUUGUAAGGCUUGGUUGUGGACCAAUCUUCAACCCUAGAAGAUUGGAGCUUGUUUUGAGGCAUCUAAAGAGGUUAGUACUUUGAUUCUCCUUGAUUCUUUGUUUUGGUAGAUUUUACCUCUUGGAACCCUAGGAGUGAGAUUUAGGGUUGAUUUUGGGGCUUUUUGAUCUAGCGACUUUUGAGGCUAGAUUUGUUGGGUUUAACCUUCAUUGGGCUUGGAUGGAAGGCGUUCCAGCUCUCUUUUAGAGCUUUGAAGAGAUUUCAUCUCUUGAGGUGAGUUUUAACCCUUUUGCUAUAUUUGUUAAAGUUUGAUUUAUAGUUGAUCGUAAUGCUCUGUGUAUCUCUUCGCUGAAUUACUUUUAAGGUGUUGUGAGACUCGUGGACAACUCGUUCGGCAAUCGAAGGAGCACGCCGACGGUUCGGUGGGAUUGACCUAGCCUAUGAUAUGAGAAAUGCUCAUAUUUGGGCAAUAUGUUUGUAAAUAGAAAUUCAUGCAUUUCCAUGUUACAUGUAUUUUAAUAAGAAUUUUAGAAUGCUUAACAUGCAUAUAUUAUGUAUAGUAAAUUUUAGACCCCUAUGUGGUAGAGUGCAUGCAUGUGAGACUAUUCUAGUUAGGUUUGGGGGAUCAUGAUUCCUAUUAUGGAAAUGAACCUUGCUUUCAUGCAUUAACCUAUAUGCAAUGGUGACAUUUAGAAAUUUUUAGAGGCCUAGAGAAGGCUUGAGAACAUGGACUAUUUGAGAUUGGGCCAAUGUCAUAAAGAGGCAUGGGGGCCCGGGGAAAGUGAACCUAGUUAAUUGGAAUAUGGGACAUGAAUUGGGCAUGAUUAGUCGUGAUGCUUAAGUGUCAUAAAGAGGCACUAAGCGAGAGUGUGCGUUGGAGCGUCACCUUGAGACUUUGGACUAGACCCUUGGGGAUGCUAGUGGCCUUGCCAUAUGAGAGGCAUGAGAGUAGAGUACUUGAGACUUUGACUUGCUUGCUUGCAUUUGUGCUCAUUCGCACAUGCUUGUGAGGGUCGCUCCCCACAAGCCGGCAUCCGGAGUUAGCCUACGCGACUUAUGUUCGCUCGUACGGUAUUGAGAAGCCUACGGGGUCGAGUGGGACAGACACAUUCCAAGAGUAGGGAUGUUGGGCUACCACAGGCACUUAGGCGGCACAAGCUGAACUACCUUUGGUAGGUCCUUAAUUGGAAAUGGAAAUCGAUACGGUGUCGAGAAUGGUUAAUCACUACUAGAUAGGUUUAGUAGUUGAAUUACAUUUAUAUGCUCUUAGCAUAGUGUUGAGACAUGUAGUAUAUUUGAUAGUCUCCUUUUUGCAUUAAAGCAUACUUGGGUGCCAUGACAGAACUUGCAUAAUGUAUUCAUGAAGGUUAAUGACAUACUAUUUUGAUAUCGUAGAUGUACAUCACCAUGACAUCGUUUAUACUUGAGUUUAGUAAGUUAGCAUUUUAAUUAUGCCUUUAUAUCGCAGUCAUUAUUGCUAUCGUUAUUGUACUUACCCUUUUCCCUUUUCUUUUGGGGCCUAGUGGUGCAUAGAGCUGAGGUCAGUAAUUGCCCACUGGGAACUAUAAAUUAUAGUUCUCACGCCCUCUUUUUCUCGAUAUUUUUCAGAGCCUUCCACGCAGGGAAAGGCCAGGGAUCGCGGAAAGGAUAUCGCCUCGGGCUAGCGUGCUUACCGAGGGAUCGUUCGAUAGGUGGUCUACCUCUCAGGUUUUCUUUUUGUGAGAGGUUGAGAGUUGUACCCGUAUAUGUAUAGAGACCACCAUUUUCUUUUGUACUAGAGACAGUUAUUGUACUACUUAUGAUUUCUUUUAUUGUCUGGCUUUACUUUGGGUGUAGAUGUUAGAACUUUACUCGCUCUGAUAUCGUUAGUUGCUAGUUAUUUCACUUUUUCUAUUUGUUCUAUUACUUGCUUCUACUUCCGCUUUUAUUCUAGACGCCUUAUAUAUGUAGACAUAUGGUGGGUCUGGGCACGCUACCGGGAGGGCCUCCGCCGGUCCCGGGGCGUGACAUCAUGUCUAAAAACAUGGAAUAUAUGUCACAUAUCUCAAUGGCCUAUCUCUAUGUCAUCAUGUCUACAACAUGGAAAAUAAAAGAUGUCCAAGGCCUAUUACUAUGUCCCAUUUUGUAGUUUCAUAGGUUUCAACGCCAAGUGUCCCUUUAUGACACUUUUGGUCUUUAUGUCCAAGCAUGAUAAUUAUGAUAAUGAAUGCAUAUUUCUAAUUAUUUUCAUCGUACGAGACAAGUACCCAACUCGCAAAACAACCACUUCUCACAUGCACACUAAAAGCCCCUAAUACCCUACUACAUAGAGUGAAAAUUUCAUGAUACAUAAGGCAUGCAUUUUAAAGGUUCUAAAAUUCGCAUAAAUUCUGUUUAAUAGGAAUAUGCAAUCAAAUUGACAUUACGACAAGUAUAGAAUACAUAGAGGCCAUUUUGCCCCGCUUUCAUGAAGCCAAACCCACCGGUCUCCUCGAAACCCUUCGUUUGCUCCAACGAAGGUGCCCCCUAGCCUCCUAGUAUCCUAGAAGCAUCAAAAAAUGAGGCCAAAGAAGGAAAUGAACAUCAAUGCGGUCAAAACAUUAACCGACUCAACAACUCACCGAAUGCGAAGGGUGCUCUUUCGAUCUCCAAAUGGGAGUAAGAGCCCUUCCAAUCCAACCUACACGAAGGUUCUAAACCCAUCAAUUGGGUCCUAAUGCCCACAAAUCACAAAUCCCCAAAUUCCAACCCUAAUAUCCAAAUCUAGGGUUUCAUCUAGUUCAAAGCUUAAAUACUAGAAUCUAGGGGAGGAAAACUAGCUACUCACCUCUAGGAUGCUUCAAUCAAAGCUCAAAGUCCACAAGCUCCCAAGAUCUUUCCUCAAACAGGCCUCAAGUCCAAGCUAAAAGGAGAUCAAAUCCAAAGAGAGGAAGAGAGAGGCUCCCCUACCUAUUCUCUGCUAGUGCAAGGCUCAAAGAGAGCCUUAAGGGGCGUGGGUACACAUAUAGUGUUGCUACAAUAGCAAAAACACCCCUGUAAUUCAAGCAGUCUGCGGACUGCACUGCGUACUGGUACACGGGGUCGCGUACCGGUACACAUCCCACGAAAAUGCCAAACCCGAGCCUCGGGUUGGCUGAGAAGCUGCCUGUGUAUCGAUACACGACCCCACGUAACGAUACAACCAUCACCGCGUACCGGUACAGCCAUCAACCCUGUACCAGUACACAGCCUACUGAAGGCUACCCGAGAGCACACCAAUAAUCAAACAUUUUAGGUUUUGGUGCCAAGUUUUAAACCUCAAUUCUCGGGACUCGAACCAUAGGUUGGAACACUGUCAACGACCCUCCACAAAGUGUGGAACAGCUCGGAACACAAAUAAAACACUUAAACCUCGCAAUUUGCAAAGGUCCAGUGUGUUGCAUUCACCCCUCCUAAAAAGGAGUUUCGUCCGCGAAACUCAAAAUCAAACUACAUACCUCAAGACUCCAUCUGAAAGAGAUGGGAAUAGCGCUCCUGCAGCGCGCUCUCUAGCUCCCACGUGGCCUCCCGCUCCUCGUGGUUGCUCCAAAGGACCUUUACAUACGGAAUGUCCUGAUUCCGUAGUUUCUUCACCUCGCGAGCCAAGAUCUUCACUGGUUGCUCCUCGAAGCUCAAAUCGUCCCGCAACUCCAAGGGUAAAGCAUCCAACACAUGAGUCGGGUCGAAGACGUACUUCCGAAGGACCGAUACAUGAAAGACGUUGUGCACGCCCGAUAGGUUCGGCGGUAGAGCAAGCCGAUACGCUACCGGACCUACACGUUCCAAAAUCUCAUACGGUCCAAUGAAACGGGGGCUCAACUUACCCCGAACCCCAAAUCUCUUGAUUCCUCUUGUCGGCGAGACCUUCAAGAACACAUGGUCUCCAACUUGGAACUCCAAGUCUCGCCAUCGCUAGUCGGCGUAGCUCCUCUGUCUACUCUGUGCAGACAACAGUCGCUCCCGAACAAUUCGAACCUUGUCCUCAGCUUCCUGGAGCACGUCAGGGCCUAAAGCCAAUCUCUCGCCUACUUCACUCCAAUGAAGUGGCGAUCUACACUUCUGUCCAUAAAGUGCUUCAAAUGGCGCCAUCUUGAUGCUUGCUUGAUAACUGUUGUUAUAAGCAAACUUUGCAAUAGGUGAUGAUGCGACCAUACUCCCUGGAAGUCUAUCACACAAGCUCGGAGCAUAUCCUCUAAGGUCUGAAUGGUGCGCUCCGACUGCCCAUCACUCUGAGGGUGGAAAGUAGUGCUGAAGUCCAAACGAGUGCCCAGGGCGUCCUGCAGACUCCUCCAAAAGUGAGACACAAACCGAGUGUGUCGAUCCGAUACUAUCGAUGUAGGCACUCCAUGAAGUCGCACAAUCUCAUCAAGGUACACUUGUGCGAGCUUCUCUCCGGUCUAAGUAGUACGAAUAGGUAUGAAGUGCGCCGACUUCGUUAACCUAUCCAUGAUUACCCAUAUAGCAUCAUGCCCGGCCUGAGAGCGGGGCAAUCCAGUCAUGAAAUUUAUGGUGAUCUUCUCCCACUUCCACACAGGAUUAGGCAAACUAUGAAGUUUUCCCGCAGGUAAUCGAUGCUCAGCCUUUACUUGUUGGCAAGUUAGACAAUGAGCUACAAACUCGCCAACGUUCUUUUUCAUCCCGGGCCACCAAUAAAGCAACUUCAAGUCCUUGUACAUCUUGGUGCCUCCCGGAUAUAUAGCAUAGGGCGCUCGAUGUGCUUCUUGCAGAAUAUCCUCUUUAAUUCCCGAAUCCGCCGGUACACAAAUCCGCCCGCGGAAACGCAACAAUCCUUGGUCAUCCACAAGGUAGUCGGCGGUGCAACCAUUAACCAUUUUACCUCUAUUCCUUUGCAACUCCGUAUCGGAGGCUUGCUUCUCUUUGAUUCUAUCCAAGAGUGUAGGUUGCACUACCAAGGUCAUCAAUCUCAAAGGUGUGUCCGGAGUCACUACCUCAAACUCCAACCUCUUCAUCUGCUCGAUCAACUGCGGUUGAGUCACAACAUGCAUCGCUAAGUUUUCUGUCGAUUUCCUACUUAGCGCAUCCGCCACCACGUUAGCCUUGCCCGGGUGGUAGAGGAUCGUCAAAUCAUAAUCUUUGAGUAGCUCCAACCAUCUGCGCUGUCUCAAGUUCAACUCUUUCUGAGUGAAUAAGUACUUCAAACUCUUGUGAUCCAUGUACACUUCACACCGCUCACCAUAAAGAUAGUGGUGCCAUAACUUCAAUGCGAAGACUACGGCCACCAACUCCAAAUCAUGCGUCGGGUAGUUCUUUUCAUAUUCCUUUAGUUAGCGCGAAGCAUACGUGAUCACUUUGCCAUCCUGCAUCAACACACAACCCAAUCCAUUAAGUGAAGCAUCACUGUAAACCACAUACCCUACUCUAGCCAUCGGCAGGGUUAGGAUCGGGGCGGUCGUCAAUUUUUGCUUCAACUCUUGGAAGCUUUUCUCGCAUGCAUCAUUCCAAAUGAACUUGACUCCUUUAUGCGUGAGCCUCGUGAGGGGAGUAGACAGCUUGGCGAACCCCUCAACAAAUCUUCGGUAGUACUCGGCAAAUCCAAGGAAGCUUCGUAUCUCUGUGACGCUCGUGAGUCUCAUCCAAUCCUUGAUUGCUUCAAUCUUCUUAGGAUCCACAGCUAUACCCGAUCCUGAAAUCAAAUGUCCAAAAAAAGCUACCUCUCGAAGCCAAAAUUCACACUUUUUCAACUUGGCAUAGAGCUCCUUUUUCCGAAGUACUUGAAGUAUAAGCCUCAAAUGCUCCUCGUGAUCUGCAUCACUUCGGGAAUAAACCAAAAUGUCAUCUAUGAACACCACGACGAACCUGUCGAGAUAAGGCCUAAAAACACGGUUCAUUAGAUCCAUAAAGGCUGCUAGGGCAUUAGUAAGCCGGAACGGCAUAACAGUGAACUCGUAAUGUCCAUACCGUGUUCUAAAAGCCGUCUUCGAUACAUCCUCGGGUUUGAUCUUUAACUGGUGGUAUCCCGACUGCAAAUUGAUUUUGGAAUACACACACGAUCCCUGAAGCUGAUCAAACAAGUCGUCGAUCCUCGGCAACGGAUACUUAUUUUUGAUCGUGACUUUAUUAAGUUCACGAUAGUCCACGCAUAGGCGAAGUAAUCCGUCCUUUUUAUUGACGAACAAAACUAGUGCUCCCCAAGGUGAGACGCUCGGUCGAAUGAAGCCUUUAUCCAGAAAAUCCUGCAGCUGUGCCCUCAGCUCCUUAAGCUCCGCCAGUGCCAUCCUAUAGGGCUCUUUCAAGAUUGGAGUAGUUUCAGGGACGAGAUCUACCACAAACUCGAUCUCCCUAUCGGGUGGCAUACCCUAUAGCUCAACUAGAAACACGUCACAAAACUCCCGCACCACCGGGAUGUCCUCAAUCCUAGGGGCGUCGUCCCCGCCCCUCAGCACGACGCUAGCCAAAUAGGCUACGCAACCUAUGCUGAUCAGCUGCCUAGCUCGAGACGAGCUGAUCGUCAUCGCAAAAAGCAAACUCUAGCAUCCUCUAAACACAAUUUCAGUCUGUCCCGGUUCUCUAAAAGUAACCGUACGAUUCAUGCAAUUGAUCGUGGCAUAAUACUUGGUUAACCAAUCCAUGCCUGAGACCACAUCAAAUUCCCCCAGCUUGCGCAAGGCUAGUAAGUCCACGGGCAUAAUCCAAUCUCCUACCCGAACAGGGCAACUAAGGCAAUACUCUCUAAUAUUCAAAGAGUGGUCGGGGACAACUACACGUCCCGAAUGCAACAAAGAAAGCAUAGGAAUGCCAUGCAACUCGACAAAUAGCUGAUUUAUGAAUGAAUGCGAUGCACCGGUACCAAUAAUGCACGAACUCUAAUGCCAUCAAGUAAAAUGAUACCUGCGACCACAUCCUCGGCUGCUGCCGCCUCCUCGGUCUGAGCGGCAUACAUACGCCCACUCGGGGCCUGUCGAGAACCCUCGCUCUGGCGCUGGACGGGUGGCCGCCCAGGCUGGUACUGCGCUGAUGGAGUCCCGUGGCUGGCGGCUGGUAGAGCCGGUGCCGAUGCAGAUGACGGUGCCGGUGACGAACCCCUCGAGCACUCGGUCCGGAAGUGGCCCUCCUGGCCACACUGAAAACACCUCCCUCCCUGUUGCGGGCAUUGCGGAUGAAUGUAGGGACCACCACAGAUCACGCACUGGGGAGUUCGGCGUCGGUCAGGACCUCCAUGAUGAGUCACCGAGCCACGCCCACGCUGCUGGCUCCUAGGAUGCUUCGGCGGCCUCCUAGAGUGCAUCUGGCUCGCAUCCUCAGCCGCAGGCCUCUUGGCCUUACCCUUGUCCAUAGCCUCUCGCCGCUCCUGGACAUCUGCCGCGCCGCUCUCCAGGAUGAGCGCGCGAUCCACCACCUCCCGGUAGGUUUGGAGGUUAGAGGAUUGCACAAACCGGAAGAUCGAUGGUCGCAACCCUCGCUCAAUGAUGUGGGCCUUGUCCUCGUCGUCCCGCACGACGAAAGGCACGCAGUGUAGAAGCCGAGAAAACUCCCGCUCGUACUCGGCUACGUCCUGUCUCCCUGGCGCAAGUUGCGCAAGUUCUGCUCCAUCUUCCUCUUGACGCUGAUCGGAAAGUAAUGUGCCGAAAGAAGCUCCUUGAACCUCUUCCAAGUAAUAGCUGCCAAGUCAGUGCUGGGGUGCUCCUGGAGAUCCAACCACCAGCGAUAGGCCUCGCCGUCCAGGUGGUGUGUGGCGAGCCAAACCCGAUCCCUCUCCUCCACGAAGGUGUCGCGAAAGAGCUUCUCCAUAUACAUCAACUGUAAUAUACCAGAUUUUGGUAUAAAAAUAAUAAUAAAUAAAAAUAGUGUGAGAAACUAUUUUUAUUAGAUUUAUAGAGGUAAAACAUAAGUCAGAAGUGACUUGUGCUGAAAUCGGAAUUAAAACAGAAGAUUUAAAAUUUUCUGUUGGAAACGGGACAGAUAAAUUAGCGGAAAAUGCACAGUCUCAGAAAAUUAUGAAAAUUGGCAGAGAUGUCAGAAAUAUUUUUAUGAGGCUAGAUUUAAAGUUUCAUAUUUUUCUAACACCCGGAAGGUGGGAAAUAAAAUCUCACAGUUAUCUGUUAAAGAUUACAGUUCGGUACAGUUUUCGGUAACCGAACGGGGUCGAAACUGAACCAGUGAUCGUCAGCUUGUUAAGUUAAGUAAAACCGAGCAUGACUGUCAAGUUUGAGCUCAAACG
rnacentral:lncRNA from 1 species